rnacentral:rRNA from 1 species
GAUGAACGCUAGCGGCAGGCCUAAUACAUGCAAGUCGGACGGGAUUGAGGAGCUUGCUUCUCAUGAGAGUGGCGCACGGGUGCGUAACACGUAUGUAACCUAACUUGUUCAGGGGGAUAGCCUCUCGAAAGAGAGAUUAAGACCGCAUAACGUAGUGAUGUGGCAUCAUAUUACUACCAAAUAUUUAUAGGAACAAGAUGGGCAUGCGGAACAUUAGCUAGUUGGUAAGGUAACGGCUUACCAAGGCUACGAUGUUUAGGGGGUCUGAGAGGAUUACCCCCCACACUGGUACUGAGACACGGACCAGACUCCUACGGGAGGCAGCAGUAAGGAAUAUUGGUCAAUGGACGGAAGUCUGAACCAGCCAUGCCGCGUGCAGGAAGACGGCCCUACGGGUUGUAAACUGCUUUUAUACGGGAAUAAACCUACUUACGUGUAAGUAGCUGAAUGUACUGUAAGAAUAAGGAUCGGCUAACUCCGUGCCAGCAGCCGCCGUAAAAC